GAAGCUGACCAGACAGUCGCCGCUUCGUCGUCGUCCUUUCGGGGAGACGGGCGGAGGGGAGGAAAGUCCGGGCUCCAUAGGGCAGGGUGCCAGGUAACGCCUGGGGGGGGAAACCCACGACCAGUGCAACAGAGAGCAAACCGCCGAUGGCCCACGUAAGUGGGAUCAGGUAAGGGUGAAAGGGUGCGGUAAGAGCGCACCGCGCGGCUGGUAACAGUCCGUGGCACGGUAAACUCCACCCGGAGCAAGGCCAAAUAGGGGUUCAUAAGGUACGGCCCGUACUGAACCCGGGUAGGCUGCUUGAGCCAGUGAGCGAUCGCUGGCCUAGAUGAAUGACUGUCCACGACAGAACCCGGCUUAUCGGUCAGUUUCACUU
rnacentral:RNase_P_RNA from 1 species